rnacentral:rRNA from 1 species
UACGAAGGGGGCUAGCGUUGCUCGGAAUCACUGGGCGUAAAGGGUGCGUAGGCGGGUUUUUAAGUCAGGGGUGAAAUCCUGGAGCUCAACUCCAGAACUGCCUUUGAUACUGAAGAUCUUGAGUCCGGGAGAGGUGAGUGGAACUGCGAGUGUAGAGGUGAAAUUCGUAGAUAUCGGGAGGAACACCUGUGGCGAAAGCGGCUCACUGGACCACAACUGACGCUGAUGCACGAAAGCUAGGGGAGCAAACGGG